rnacentral:rRNA from 1 species
AGCCAAGUAGCGUGCAGGAUGACGGCCCUACGGGUUGUAAACUGCUUUUAUGCGGGGAUAAAGUGAGGGACGUGUCCCUUUUUGCAGGUACCGCAUGAAUAAGGACCGGCUAAUUCCGUGCCAGCAGCCGCGGUAAUACGGAAGGUCCGGGCGUUAUCCGGAUUUAUUGGGUUUAAAGGGAGCGUAGGCCGGGGAUUAAGUGUGUUGUGAAAUGUAGGCGCCCAACGUCUGACUUGCAGCGCAUACUGGUUCCCUUGAGUACGCGCAACGCCGGCGGAAUUCGUCGUGUAGCGGUGAAAUGCUUAGAUAUGACGAAGAACCCCGAUUGCGAAGGCAGCCGGCGGGAGCGCAACUGACGCUGAAGCUCGAAGGUGCGGGUAUCGAACAGGAUUAGAUACCCUGGUAGUCCGCACGGUAAACGAUGGAUGCCCGCUGUCGGCGCCUUGCGCCGGCGGCCAAGCGAAAGCGUUAAGCAUCCCACCUGGGGAGUACGCCGGCAACGGUGAAACUCAAAGGAAUUGACGGGGGCCCGCACAAGCGGAGGAACAUGUGGUUUAAUUCGAUGAUACGCGAGGAACCUUACCCGGGCUUGAAUUGCAGGAGAACGAAACAGAGAUGUUGAGGUUCUU